ACGGAGGGUGCAAGCGUUAAUCGGAAUUACUGGGCGUAAAGCGUGCGUAGGUGGUUCGUUAAGUCCGUUGUGAAAGCCCCGAGCUCAACUUGGGAAUUGCAGUGGAUACUGGCGGGCUGGAGUGCAGAAGAGGAAAGUGGAAUUCCACGUGUAGCGGUGAAAUGCGUAGAGAUGUGGAGGAACACCAGUGGCGAAGGCGGCUUUCUGGUCUGUAACUGACGCUGAGGCGCGAAAGCGUGGGGAGCAAACAGGA
rnacentral:rRNA from 1 species